UUGAUAAACCUAGAGAAUGAAGUCCUGUUUCUAUCCAAGCAGCAGAUAGCCUGAGCAGUGCAAGUUCUCCCACUUUCACCUCAAUCUCAUUCUGACGUCACGUCUAGGAAUGAGAACGUUGCUUAGUCUCCACAUCCAUUCAAUCAUACUAUUCU
ensembl:misc_RNA